CUGUUGUGAAGCGUCUACGAACGGAAGACACUUUAGCGCACUUUGCCGAGGUCGAACGUUGUCUAAGCAAACGAUUGGCCAAAUUAGUACGCGCGGCAACGGCAAAUACAAAAUACAAAGUGACGAAAGCGAUAAUGGCAAAUAGCAAAUACAAAUAAUAAUUAAAAAAAAAGAAAAGAAAAGAAAAAAACAAGAAGUAGAACACACUACACAGCCAACGGCGAUUAUGUUAAUGCAUAAUAAUAAGAAGAAGAAGAAUAAAAAUAAAAUAAGUAGAGGAGCAGUAAUAAAUGUAAAAUAAAAAAUUAAAUAUAAAACUAAAAAACGCGCAGAAGUCUGAGCUGCUGGCAGUAAAGCGUAUCAAAUAAUACGACAGAUAGUGGAGAGUCUUCUUAUUUUUUUAGGUUUUUUUUUUUGUAUGAUUGAUUUUUAAUUUUUUUAUUACCUUCGAGUAAUGCACAACGAUUAAGCAACAUUUCACGAGCUGCAUUUAGAAGAAGCGCAAAGCUUCAUAAACACACCACUGGAGAGAUCACAAAUAUUUAUGUACUUAUGUAGAGACAGACGUAAUAAAAAGUGCUUUUGAAGCGGAUUUUGAAAUAGAGCAACACUUCACUUUCGAAACAGCACAAUUUAGAAAUAAAAAAAUAUAUAUGUACGAAAAAAUAUGGAGAAAAUCAAAGAAUGAGCAACGCGAUCGCGUCAAAUAUAUAGACACAGGCGCUCACACACACACACACACACUCUGCGCGCGGCGAUAGAGAAUUCUACGCUCGCUCCAGUAGUUGGAGCGGCUCUACUGCUGCUGCUGUAACACCGUGUGCGCGUUGCUACUGCGGCACUUGCGUAAAGCUUUCCAACAAUACACAGAGAGACAGACACAUACACGCGCUCGCACAGGUACAAUCAAAAGGCGUAUAGAAAGCACGUCGUCGUCGUUGUCGUCGCCGCCAACGUCGCACGCAUUGCCGUAAACGCAAUUUUAUUUUUGUUUUUGUAUUUAUUUUAAAUUUCUUCUUAUUUGUCUUUCACUUCUCGCGAUUUUGCACUUCGCUGUCGCUUUGUCUCGAACACUACUACUUUAUUAGCUGAAUUUUGAAGCGCUUGUAUGCGUUUGUAUCUCUACCGCGUUGCGAGCGCGCGGUAAAAGUCGAGGGAACGCGGAAAAGAACGUGAAUCGAGAAAUAGACGCGCGCACGUUGCUCAGCUCGUCGCACAAUGUGUACUGAAGAAAAUUCCGAAAUGGACUGAAAAGCAGUGCCCAACACGAAAAUUCAUACAAAACUUGCGCGCACACACAGAAACUAAAAUAUAUUGGCACAAGCACACGUACGCGGCGCUGGCAAUUACAGUAGAACACAACGGAGCGCGGCAGUGACAAAGGCGGCAGCAGCGCUAGCCGCCGCGGCGUCGAAAGUAGCCUUCGCAGCGCCGUCAGCGCGCAAGUGUAAUGUUAAAUGAGAGCGCGCAAAAAACCAAACUGACUGUGUGUGGUGGAAAGCAAAAGCAGCUGAAAGCAAAUAAUUUUCAGUACAACUUUGGCAUGAAAAGGUUAACGCAAAAAAUAAUACUAAUAGAAAAAUAAAAGAAAAAAGAAAUAAAAGAAAAAAAAUUAAAUGAAUGAAAAAAUAAAAAUAAAAAAUAACAAAAAAAACCGACAAGUAAAACCGAAUAAUCGAAUUCACAACUAAAAAUGAGUGUUAGUAGCAAAUUAGGGCGGCGCGGCCGGGCGCGCUGCCACUCUGACUAAAUGUGCGACUAACAAAAAACAAGCACAGUAACAAAGCAGUACGGAAGAAAAGUCAUCAUAAAGUCAACAGCACCAGCAAUAAAAUAAUUGAAAAAUCAAUGAAACAUGACAUGUUGUUAAACUUGAACAAUCGCAUUGCAGUACACGCGCUAGCUCCAACGAAUUUUCAGAAAACUUUUGUGCACAGGGCGUAAACCGUGUUGUUAUACUGGAAAGUAUGUACUGUUACACUGCUGACUGCUUGCAUGCACUUAGAUAUGUAUGCGUUUGCGUGUCCGUGCUGUGAGACUAUAAAAUUUUAUCGAUUGUACGCCGCCGACCACAGCAAAGAAAACAAUUACAAUAAUAGAAAAUAACAGAAAACACCAUAGAAAGCAAACAAUAUAAUUUAAAAAAAAAAAAACGAAGUUAAACAGCGAGAAAAUGAGGCGUAUCAAAAACAAAAGCAGCUGCAGUUACAAUGUGGCGGAAAGUGGUACACAGCAGUGUGGAGUGCUGGUAAAAUGCAAUAAAAUUGCAACAAAUACAAGACGAAUAUUGCUAAGCAGUUAUGAUAAUGGAAUGUGCUUAAUGUUAUUGUUGCCACGAAGUGAAUAUAUUUUCGAAAAAAUAUAAGAAGAAUAUCUAUCUGUACGUAUGAAAAUACUGGAAAAACAAUUCUAAAAAAAGACACACCGCUCCAAAGCGUUAAUAGCAUUGAAUAAAAUUAAGGAAAAAUUCAAUUACACCAAAACGCAUAUUGCACACGUCGCGUGCAAAUGCAACAUUCUAAACGAGUCAGCAACAUUGAUAGCUGUAGCUGUAUAUAUGUAUGUUUAUAUUACGAAUGCAUAACCGAAGGCAGCAACAGCAACGUGCCAGUGGCAAUGAAAAACAUCACCAACACAUCGGAUUGUACCGAUAUAAACAUGCUGAGCUGAAAGUAGCAUUCGCACUCCCAUUCGUUUGGUGAAAAGGCAAAAAAGCAACACUUUAGAAAUAAAAAUGAAAAUUUAUCGGCAUGAAAAUUUCGAAAUUGUAUACGAAAAACAAUUUGAACCAUUCAACGAAGUAAUUGUGUUUGUUUGCAGCAGCACAGCAUACUGCGACGCGAUCAACAACGAUCUACAGAGAGAGAGAGCAAAAAACAGCGCAUGAGAGAGAGAGGAUGACACAGCAAAUGUGUAUUAGUGCAAACGGUGCAUUAUAUGUGCGACAAGUGUUGAAAGCAUUUCAUAAAGCUCAACGCGGAAAAUUUUUCUAAAAUCUAGCUGUUUUUAAAAGGAUUAUAAGGUAGUAAAGGCCUAGGGUGCGUAUAAUCAAAUAAUUUAUUUCGUUUUCGACUGUCGAGAUGGAAAAUGGUCAACCGAGAUCGAUCUAGAAUUCGCAAUAACAACUUUUAGUGGAGGCAAAAAAAUAGUUGUCAACUCGAAACUCAGCUGGAAUGAAGUUUUUUCAAGAACAACACCGUAUUCUGUAUGCUAUUAGUGACUCUUCUGAUUAGAGACUCUUCUAAAUCAUAGUAUAGACUAGAAUAAUUACAUACAAUAUCAGCCUAGUUUAUAUCCAAUACUCAACAUAGCCGGCACGUAUCCUUAUAUACAUGAGAUCGUCGAUUAUCGAUAACUAUGAAAGCUUUUCUCAGCAGUUUUAGCGAGUAAAUGCGUUUCAUCAAUAGCUUGUGCUGCACUAACUCACCCAAAUUAUCGAACUGCAUUAAAAAUUGCUCUUUUGAAUUAAGAAUUGUUUCCAUUAUUUGAUUUAAACGCUUGUUCGAAAAUGCGAAAACAAAUAAUAAAAAUCCUUUCUGAGAAAAAUUAUGUCGAAAUUGAUUUAAAAAGCACAUUGACUGAAUUUAAAAGAAUUUCAAACAUUCGAUAAGGACAAAAAAUAAAUAUUUUAUAAAAAUAUGCAAAGUUUAACCGAAAUUGCACGAAGAAAAAAAUCUGUUAUAGCGUUUUUAGACAGCCAAAUUAAUUGAUCAAUCAAAAUUUUUAUUGAGAAACCCUUUUUUUGCCUUUUACACUGCCGGCUACUCUAUAACCGAUCAGCUGUUAUACAUUUUUGUUUCUGAUUUUCAUAAGAAGUUGUUUCAUCAGCAGAUUGAUAUGUUUAGCAGCGAUAUCUACGCUUUUUAUUUUAUAUGGUAAAUCGAUCUCAUUAAGCGUUUUAAUCGAGCAGAGACCAGUUAAUUGAUCAAUUAGUUUCUUUGUAAAAAGGCUAUUAGUCUAUUAACCUCAAUCUAACUGCCUAUAUGAAGAACACUAUAUACUAUAAUAAAUAUAAUAUUUUGUGCAUAAAUUGUACUUACUACUUGUUUUAACACCGCCAAGCACGAGAUUUUGUUGUGCCUGCUUAUUGCCCUCAGCGAAUGAGGUUGUCCUUGGACGCCCGCUCAUAUCGUCGUCCGUAUCUCCUACUGCGGCAGCAGCUAGAGAGACGCUUUUGACGGCGACAGUGCCAGCAGCAGCAGCAGCAGCAGUGGCAACGGUAGUCGCUGUUGUAACAGCGGCGGUAUUUUUUGUACCAACUGCAACGGGCGCGCUAAUUUUGCUUAGAUUUCUUCGCUUUUACAGCGGUACACUUCAAGGAGUCGAAAUUUAAUUUAUAUAUAAAUAUAUAUAAUAUAUAUGUAUAUACUAUAUUUGAAGCUUGCGGUGUUGACAACUUUUUCGCUCUUGGGUAUUCACUGCAGGUAAGACUACUUCUUAUUUGGAAGAGCGUCGUCUAACGCAAUUACGCUAUUUGCUUUUACUAGGUUAGUUGAUUUGUGGAAGCAGUUAAACUUAUAUGCGGUGUGUGCUGUCCAAUAAACUGCAGGUAGAAGAAAAAUAUACAAUUGAAUAAAUAUAAGAAAUGCUAGAAAAACUCAAAUUACAUACCUCUUCUAUAUGUAUGCUUUUAGGCGCAACUUCACAUCGAUCAGCGUAUCGGCGUAUGGUCGCACUAUUUAAUGACUUUGUUGUUGUAGUUGAAAAUGUAGUUUUUGAUUUUAUAUAUUUGCUUUUAGCGACAGUUUAUCAACGUCUUUCCUCUUGCGCAAUCAGUCAGUGCUUAAGCUGUACUCUAACAUCUGUUGCGCUGAUUCCACUUCCACUAUCGCUUGCUUUGUUUUAGUGUUUAUGUGUUGGUGUGUGUUAAUUUAUCUCCGUUUGAAUUUAAUUCAAUUGCACAAAAAUGUU